UCGCGCAUGUCUCAUCACCGGUCUUCUUCCUCGAUGACCUCCACCUCGUCCUCCUACUUGUUGGUGCUCCUGGCAGUGAGGACGAACUCCACCUUGUCCUCCUCUACCCCGACCCGUACACGCAGUCAUCUGUCGGCCCUGUGGUAUCCUAUCUCUCUCUCUCUCCCUCACUCUCUCCUUGAUUGUGGAGGAUUGUUUUUAUGUUUGCAUGUGAUCAGAUGGAUCUGACACACAACCAUCUUGGAAUGAAUUCAGAUUUGGCACUUAACCUAUGUAGAGCACUAAGUGGUAUCUCUAUAAUUGUGAUCAUAUUUACAUGCUACAAAGUGCGCACUUUAACUAAUGCACUUUAUUAUUAAGAACUUAGUAAAUUUAUAGAACUUUUGAUUUUGAAAGUGCGCACUUUUGAUUUAAAUAGACACAUAUAUCCUAUGAAAGUGCGCACUUUCAAAUUUUUUAUACACCGAUCCUGUGAAAGUGCGCACUUUUGAAAUCUCAAUACUCAGAUCCUAUUAAAGUGCUCACUUUUGAAUUGUUCAUACACAGAUCCUGUGAAAGUGUGCAUUAUUGAAUUUAUCAUACACACAGCUUAUGAAAGUGCGUGUUUUAAUUGUUCAUGCAUAGAUCCUAUGAAGUUGAAUAUCCUUUUAGUUUGAAUUUAGCACAUUUCUAUAUUUUUGCCACUUUUUUGAGUUGGGGUAAUUUGUUACUUGGUCGUACUUUGGCACUUUGCCACACUUUCUAAUAUGAGAUUUUUGGCACUUUGUAGUAUGAAAAUUUUGGCACUUUUUAAUUAUCUAUCUCUUUAUCAUAUUUGGACAUUUUGUAAUUUGAGAUGUUUGAUACUUACUAAUAAAAUUGGAACAUUGUAUAUCAUAUUGGCACUUUUAAUUAUUUCCUAUUAGUUGAUUAACCAUUGUUUUUAUUAAUAACUGAUGCUCUAACUAAUAGUUAAUUAUCUGUUUAAAUAUGUUAGUAUUUGAAUUUGAAUUCACACAAGUUGUACAUCUCUCCCUUCAAAAGGAAAUCUAUCACACUUGAGUACGCAUUGAAAUAAGUGUGCACAGUCUACAGGGCGUGCAAUUUGUUCAAAGAGGAGGGAGAGAAGACUUGACAGAAUAAUGGAAUGGAAAAGUGGGUUGUAAUUAUUGCACAGAUCACGAAGCAGAAAUAGACGACAUAGAUAGCCUCUCCGAGGGUAUUUCUUGAUGGCAUUACUAUUUCAUUAGAAAUAGUAGUUUGGACACAUGGUGCAACCAUAAGGAAGUUAAUAUACUAACUUUCAAAGUUGAGAUCAUAAACUAACAUUACUUGUUUAGGAAGACGUGUGCUAUCUUGUAUCAUCAUAGAUGAUGCUUUUUUGUGUCCAACAAAAGAAGGUGUGUUGGAAAAUUAUAUUAAAACUGAUGCAAAAUCAAAUAUAGAAAUAAAGAUCCUAGAAGAUCUCUUUAAUUAUUAGACACAUGUUUAUCUCAUAUCUCAU
rnacentral:lncRNA from 1 species